CCUACGGGUGGCAGCAGUGGGGAAUAUUGGACAAUGGGCGAAAGCCUGAUCCAGCCAUGCCGCGUGUGUGAAGAAGGCCUUCGGGUUGUAAAGCACUUUCAGUGGGGAAGAAAGCCUUGGGGCUAAUACCCUCGAGGAAGGACAUCACCCACAGAAGAAGCACCGGCUAACUCCGUGCCAGCAGCCGCGGUAAUACGGAGGGUGCGGGCGUUAAUCGGAAUUACUGGGCGUAAAGCGCGCGUAGGCGGUCUGAUAAGCCGGUUGUGAAAGCCCCGGGCUCAACCUGGGAACGGCAUCCGGAACUGUCAGGCUAGAGUGCAGGAGAGGAAGGUAGAAUUCCCGGUGUAGCAGUGAAAUGCGUAGAGAUCGGGAGGAAUACCAGUGGCGAAGGCAGCCUUCUGGACUGACACUGACGCUGAGGUGCGAAAGCGUGGGUAGCAAACAGGAUUAGAUACCCCUGUAGUC
rnacentral:rRNA from 1 species